rnacentral:rRNA from 1 species
AACGUAGGUGGCAAGCGUUAUCCGGAAUUACUGGGCGUAAAGGGUGUGCAGGCGGGGGUGCAAGUGGGGUAUGAAAUAUCCCAGCUUAACUGGGAGGGGUUAUGCCAGACUGCAACUCUAGAGGACGAGAGAGGGGGGUGGAAUUCCGGGUGUAGUGGUGAAAUGCGUAGAGAUCCGGAGGAACCCCAGAGGCGAAGGCGGCCCCCUGGCUCGUACCUGACGCUCAGCCACGAAAGCAUGGGGAGCGAACGGG